rnacentral:rRNA from 1 species
AGUGAACGCUGGCGGUAGGCCUAACACAUGCAAGUCGAACGGCAGCACAGUAAGAGCUUGCUCUUACGGGUGGCGAGUGGCGGACGGGUGAGGAAUACAUCGGAAUCUACUUUUUCGUGGGGGAUAACGUAGGGAAACUUACGCUAAUACCGCAUACGACCUACGGGUGAAAGCAGGGGAUCUUCGGACCUUGCGCGAUUGAAUGAGCCGAUGUCGGAUUAGCCAGUUGGCGGGGUAAAGGCCCACCAAGGCGACGAUCCGUAGCUGGUCUGAGAGGAUGAUCAGCCACACUGGAACUGAGACACGGUCCAGACUCCUACGGGAGGCAGCAGUGGGGAAUAUUGGACAAAGGGCGCAAGCCUGAUCCAGCCAUACCGCGUGGGUGAAGAAGGCCUUCGGGUUGUAAAGCCCUUUUGUUGGGAAAGAAAAGCAGCAGGUUAAUACCCCGCUGCUCUGACGGUACCCAAAGAAUAAGCACCGGCUAACUUCGUG